UACGUAGGGUGCGAGCGUUGUCCGGAAUUACUGGGCGUAAAGAGCUCGUAGGUGGUUUGUCGCGUUGUUCGUGAAAACUCACAGCUCAACUGUGGGCGUGCGGGCGAUACGGGCAGACUGGAGUACUGCAGGGGAGACUGGAAUUCCUGGUGUAGCGGUGAAUGCGCAGAUAUCAGGAGGAACACCGGUGGCGAAGGCGGGUCUCUGGGCCGUAACUGACGCUGAGGAGCGAAAGCAUGGGGAGCGAACAGG
rnacentral:rRNA from 1 species